CAAGGGAAAAGGGAGAGGACUCAGCUCUGAUCGCCUGGCGCACGGAGCAGCAAAUUCAUGUCGGAGCCAGCGCUGGAAUGUCUCCCAAGCUCCCAAGGCUCCCGGUGGGGAAAGGAAAGGAGCCCUUCUCCCAGAUGUGAACCUGAUCCUAAGACCCCCUCAAUUCCCUGCUCCAGAAGUCUGAAUACCACCACCCAGAGCAACACAGCCACCUUUCUGCUUCGAGAGGAUGCCUUAUGAUGAGACUCUACACUGAAAAUGCCUUCAUAAUCUUUUUUCCCUAGAAAACGUUGCAUGUUCUAAAAAUC